GGUGAUCCAAAAGAUUGACAGUAUUUUGUCAGAGUCUACUGCUGCAUCCCUUCUCUUCUUCUCCAUAAUAGCAGCAGCAACCAUGGAAAAAGUGGCAAAAAAGAGCCCAGCUCCUAUCCUUUGUAAAGGGGUUAUUCCUGAUUCAUGACCAGUGAAUUUCCUUGCGAAUGGGACAAAAAAGGUGUCAUAUAGAGGGACUACAACUAUAAGGAUAAUGUAAGGGAUGGAUUGAAGUGAAGCUGGAGGGAUCUUGAAGGAUUCUGUAAGAUGGGUGUCCAUGGAACUCCCUUGCUGAACUGAAAAUGUUUGGAGCUGUGCUAAAAUAGUGUUGAAAACUAUAGUGCAAGCAAAAAUUGGAAUCACUGAUAUUAGUAUCUUCACUUGCUCCACUUGAGUUACAGUGCAUAAUCUCCAUGGAC
rnacentral:misc_RNA from 1 species